GAUGAACGCUAGCUACAGGCUUAACACAUGCAAGUCGAGGGGAAACGACAUCGAAAGCUUGCUUUUGAUGGGCGUCGACCGGCGCACGGGUGAGUAACGCGUAUCCAACCUGCCCAUCACUUGGGAAUAACCUUGCGAAAGUAAGACUAAUACCCAAUGAUAUCCCACGAAGGCAUCGGAAUGGGAUUAAAGAUUUAUCGGUGAUGGGUGGGGAGGCGUCUGAUUAGCUUGUUGGCGGGGUAACGGCCCACCAAGGCAACGAUCAGUAGGGGUUCUGAGAGGAAGGUCCCCCACAUUGGAACUGAGACACGGUCCAAACUCCUACGGGAGGCAGCAGUGAGGAAUAUUGGUCAAUGGGCGAGCGCCUGAACCAGCCAAGUAGCGUGAAGGAAGACGGCCCUAUGGGUUGUAAACUGCUUUUAUAAGGGAAUAAAGUGGGUCACGUGUGACUUUUUGCAUGUACCUUAUGAAUAAGGACCGGCUAAUUCCGUG
rnacentral:rRNA from 1 species